GCGUGGGCGGGGCGUGGGGGGUCCGUGGAGCACAGAGAGGGCAUGUCAGUCCAUUUCUAGGUAAGUACCUUGUCCUGGCUGCUCUGGGAACAUGUAUCUCCCAUCAGAGGUCACUGCCCGUUCUGUAACACGCAUGAGGAGAGACCCGCAGCUGAGACACGCUGCUCCAGCUCUCUCGCUCAGAACCACUCUGGGCUCCGAGGUGCCGCGUGCGUCCUUGGGCCCAUUGCUUCCUCCCAGGUCCUCUCACCUCUGUCUACCAGGAAGCGAAGUUUCUGGACCACCGCCAGGUUCCCACUCACCCGGUAGAUGCCGUCCACAUCCAGACCUAGGGGGCGAGGCACAGGGAAGCCUCAACACAAAGCCGCACAAAGCUGGGCACGGUGUCCCCUUCCCUUUGGCACAGCGACUCCAGCUGGCAACCAAACACUUGGUCUGCAGAGCAAGGGAAAGGGGAGAUCAUCAGUAAAGGUCUCCGGUACCCGCGUAAGACUGGGGCUGCUGCCCCGCGGGGGUACCGACCGGCUCUCUGCUCCUCCAAUAAUGGGGAGGAGGGGAAAACAGAUGUCAGCAGGUUCUAACUGGUUCUGGAUGCUCCGCUUUGAGCCUCACUUGAGUUUCGGUUCGUGCUAAGAUUAGGAAUAUGGAAGAUCCUGAAAACACACCUAUCGGUCCUCGCAUGGUGCCUUUUUUGUUUUUGUUUUUCCAGAGAGGGUCUCUCUGUGUAGCGCUGGCUGUCCUAGAACUCGCUUGUUAGACUAGGCUGGCCUCGAACUCCGAGAUCCACCCGAGUGCUGGGAUUAAAGGCAUCGCCACCACCCAGCGUAAGAUGCCUCUUCCCUGUAAUCCCAGCGACACUUAGGAGGCUGAGGCAGGAGGAUUGCCCAAGGUUGAGGGCAGCGCUGGGAUGAAUACUGAGAGUAUGUUUCAACCAUAAUAAAAUCCGAAAACCAAAA